rnacentral:rRNA from 1 species
CCUACGGGAGGCAGCAGUGGGGAAUAUUGGACAAUGGGCGCAAGCCUGAUCCAGCCAUGCCGCGUGAGUGAUGAAGGCCCUAGGGUUGUAAAGCUCUUUCACCGGUGAAGAUAAUGACGGUAACCGGAGAAGAAGCCCCGGCUAACUUCGUGCCAGCAGCCGCGGUAAUACGAAGGGGGCUAGCGUUGUUCGGAUUUACUGGGCGUAAAGCGCACGUAGGCGGACUUUUAAGUCAGGGGUGAAAUCCCGGGGCUCAACCCCGGAACUGCCUUUGAUACUGGAAGUCUUGAGUAUGGUAGAGGUGAGUGGAAUUCCGAGUGUAGAGGUGAAAUUCGUAGAUAUUCGGAGGAACACCAGUGGCGAAGGCGGCUCACUGGACCAUUACUGACGCUGAGUCGAA